UAAGUACCAUACAGAGGAUGACACAAAUGGUAAUGAACACAUCAUGGAUCUUGCAUUAAUUUUCUUAUUCUAGCAGUACAAUUUGUGCAGGGAAGUCAUUCAUUUGUCAUGCCAUGGAAGUAUCGUUUGAAGUUUCCUUGCUGUCAAGACUUUUUUUUCAACAUCUAUGAGGUGGCAAGCAAAGUUAUGGUAAUUGCAGUUCAUAUCAGUUCAUUCGUCGCAAGGAAGAAAAUCUACUCUGGAUAGUUGAUUUAGUGUUUCUUGAACAUGGCCAGGGCAAUGGAUAAAAUCUACUCUGGAUAGUUGACAGAGGGAGUACAUGCUAAGUUGACUUUUUUCCUGCGGAUUUGCUUAUCGUGAAGAUGCUUGGAAGGAUGCAGAGGGAGCGGAUCAUUUGGAGAGAUAGGAUGCCACUGUUUGGUGUUUUUAUGCAUUUUGGUUUGCUUGUAACUGUGUUUGCACUAGCUGGGAGUAAGUGACUUCAAGAAGUGUAGGUGUUUUAAUUGAAGGCAUGAAAAGCCAUGAUAAUAUGUAUGCUCUUACAGGAUGUGCUCUAAUGCCGCUGGUUUAUUAUAAAUCUUGGAUUAGUAAUGAUGUGUAAUGCUGCUGGUUUAUUGCAAAUAUGUGUUUGUUUUAGUUGGAA